CCGCCCCGAAUUGUAGUCUAGAAAGGCGCCAUCGGCCGCGCCCGCCGCUCAAAUCCCAUGGAACUGGGUAUCGGAGAAGGUGAGAAUCCUGUACCGUGGCGGACCGCGGCCGCACGAUGCGCCCUUGCAGAGUCGGGUUGCUUGGGAUUGCAGCUUGAAGUGGGUGGUAAAUUCCAUCUAAAGCUAAAUACUGGUUCAUGACCGAUAGCGAACAAGUACCGUGAGGGAAAGAUGCAAAGAACUUUGAAAAGAGAGUUAAAGAGUGCUUGAAAUCGGUGUGAGGAAACCCGUUUGCGCCCGGUUUCGCGUCGUCAACUCAGCAGUCUCGAAACUGUGCACUUUGGCGAUGCGGGUCCUACGCGACUUUGUGUGCUUCAUAAUAACCGGGGGGGCUUCGGUGAGCCCGGAAAUGUUGUGCGCGAGGUCCCGUCGGACGGAACGGGCGCAACCGACCCGUCUAGAAACACGGACCAAGGAGUCUGACACGGAUGCGAGUACCCGGGUGGCAAGCCCGCGUGCGCAAUGAAAGUGAAGGGCGUGCCCCGCCAACCGACCUUGAUCUUCUGUGAAGGGUUUGAGUCGAGCAUCACUGUCGGGACCCGAAAGAUGGUGAACUAUGCCUGAGGAGGUUGAAGUCUGCCGAAAGGCAGAUGGAGGGCCGUAGCGAUACUGACGUGCAAAUCGUUCGUCGAACUUGGGUAUAGGGGCGAAAGACUAAUCGAACCAUCUAGUAGCUGGUUCCCUCCGAAGUUUCCCUCAGGAUAGCUUGGAUGCAAGGGUUUUGU
rnacentral:rRNA from 1 species